rnacentral:rRNA from 1 species
UACGGAGGGUGCAAGCGUUGUCCGGAUUCAUUGGGUUUAAAGGGUGCGCAGGCGGGACAUUAAGUCAGGGGUGAAAGACGGUUGCUCAACAAUCGCAGUGCCUUUGAUACUGGUGUUCUUGGGUGACCUUGAGGUAGGCGGAAUGGGUGGUGUAGCGGUGAAAUGCAUAGAUACCACCCAGAACUCCGAUUGCGAAGGCAGCUUACUAGGCUGUAACUGACGCUGAGGCACGAAAGCGUGGGGAGCGAACAGG